rnacentral:tRNA from 1 species
GCCUCUAUGGCGUAGCGGCAGCGCGUCUCACUCGUAAUGAGAAGGUCGUGUGUUCGAUUCACACUGGAGGCA